rnacentral:lncRNA from 1 species
AAACACAGCCUACCUGCCUGGCACCCAGAAAGAGCUGCAUACCACCAUUCUUGCCACCAAAGACUGGAUUUCAGGGUUUUGGAUCAAUGAGCCACCAGAAGGAACUGGAGGAAUCAAUACCUGGCCCCUGAGAGACAGCCCUCGGUGAUGGCCGACCAUAAGAGUGUAUGCUACAAAUCCUCUCUCCCCGAAGCUGCUUCUGGCUACAGCACCUUAGCCCAGGGAUAGACGUGAAACCAGGAUUCCCAGAGGAGGUGUCUGAGACCAGCAGGUGCUCACUGAACAACAUCUCUUCCAGGAAGAAGAGAAUGAAGACUGCUUCUAGGAGGCGACAUCUCCAUCAGAGCACAUAAGGUCAGGAGGGGACAUCUCUGUUAGAGCAUAUUAGCAUGUCAGGCAACAGUGGCAGUUACAUGGUGCUCACAGAGCCAUUGGCUGCAGAAAGGCAACCUCCAGCACACAGGGCAGCUGCGCCCCAGCCAGGAUCUCCACAGAAAACAUGAGGUUCUCCC